rnacentral:rRNA from 1 species
AGUGAACGCUGGCGGCAUGCCUAACACAUGCAAGUCGAACGACAGCACAGUAAGAGCUUGCUCUUACGGGUGGCGAGUGGCGGACGGGUGAGGAAUACAUCGGAUUCUUCUUUUACGUGGGGGAUAACGUAGGGAAACUUACGCUAAUACCGCAUAUGUCCUACGGGUGAAAGCAGGGGAUCUUCGGACUUUUCGCGAUUGAAUGAGCCGAUGUCGGAUUAGCUAGUUGGCUGGGUAAAGGCCCACCUAGGCGACGAUGCGUAGCUGAUCUGAGAGGAUGAUCGGCCACACUGGAACUGAGACACGGUCCAGACUCCUACGGGGGGCAGCAGUGGGGAAUCUUGAGAAAUGGGGGGAAGGCUGACGGAGCAAAACCGGGGGAGGGAUGAAGGGCUUCGGAUUGUAAAACCCUUUUGUUAGGGAAGAAAAAAAGGGUAAUUAACUCCGCGCGUAUUGACGGUACCCAAAAAAAAAGCCACGGCUAACUUCGUG